GAAGAGAUGUUUUAUAGCUGUAUUUUGGAGUAUAGUUAAAUACCUUUUGAGAUAAUUUCUGGUGUCAGGAAAUAGGGCCAUGCAUUGAGUAUUGUUAAUGUAACAUGAACUGUACAUGAGGAAGGGAGGACAGACAGGACUGAAUCCACGACACCAAAGGGAGCUAGUUUGGGGACUGCAGGUCCCACAUGCACUGGUGAUGGCCCAUCCUCCUGCAGGCCUCAGCUUCGAGGUAUGGAUCAAGCCCCUCUGAUAGAGGAAAACAGCAACAGCAGCACAUGGGAGCUUGCUCAGGGCCCCAAAACCUCUUCCCAGGGAGUGCAGUAACACACUGAACUGUGCAAAAGACUGCUUCAUGGGGAGCUGGAGUUGGGGAAAUCUGCUUGGCUGUGGUAGCAGCACAGACUGGUUAAAAAGCAACCCCCACCUCCAACAAAACCUCUGAAAAGGGGAGCUGAGAAUGAAUCUUGCACUGCUGUCACAGGUAAACUCUGAUUUGCAAAGGCAAGCCCUGCAUGUGAGGAGUCCAUGAUCCCUGACUCCUUGCAAACCUUUGUCCAGCCUGAGGUUUACUCCUUCACUCCACAGUGAAAAAAAGGUGAACACAUUUGCAGCACCAGGCCAAUGCCACACAGCAACCCAGUGCUAUUACAUGGCUCUAUGUCCACCAGAGACAUGGUGAUGCUCAGGUUUGGCAGGAGUCCUGUCAGCUGGGAGAUGUAUCCUAAAUGUGCCCUACCCAAAGCAGUCAGCAUGUACAGUGAACAUCCCUCCCCCAGUGCCUUCUCCAUGUUCAAGUUCUGCCACUGUCCUUGAGAUAAGUCAUACCUGUCUCUUAAGGACUGCAUUGCUCUUUGUGGUGGGGCUGUUUCUCUCUUCUGUUUUGAUAUUACUUCCCUUUCAGGGGUACUCCCUAGUGUUUAGAUACCCUCAAAACCUUAAGUAUGGGUUUCAGGGUUGACCUUGCCCAGCAUAAGCUACCUGCCAAACAAAUAAUUGCCCUCUCCAGAAAAGAUGAGACAGGAGGCUGGCUGGGGUGUUGUUGCUUUCUCAGCAAGGCAGCCUUUGAUCUCUUGCUGCUUCUCAGCUCAGGCAGAA